CUUCCUCAUCUGAAAUUUUUUAAAGUAAUAG
rnacentral:piRNA from 1 species